AGGGCCACCGGAUCGACACCACGCGUGACGACGAGGUAAUCGCGCAUCACGAUGCCGUGACGGUUCUC
rnacentral:sRNA from 1 species